rnacentral:lncRNA from 1 species
UUUUUAUUAUGCAUUGCACACGUCCUAAAUACAUAAUUACAUGCUGUCUUGGCCGAUCGAGUAAAUAAUACACAUUAAAAAAAAAAAAAAGAAGAAGAAGAAGAAUGAAUAUUUAACAAAUGGAGUGCGGUGGCUUCAGUGUGGGGAACGUAAUAUGGGUUUAAAAAACCUGCCUAAUUAUGCACUUAACCAAGACAUGAGGACAGUUCCUCUAGAGCCAUUCUGGCCUGUCAAGUAAAUAAUAUGCAUUUUACAAAACCAACUAAUUAUGGAUUUGCCCACGGGACUGUAAAAGAUCUGAAGAUGCAGAUGGGACGGUGGACAUGCAUCUGGUUAUGAGUGUUGGCCUCCUGUCUCAGCAGAUACAAAAUGGAGGGAUUGGGGCCACAUGCCUUAACUGCCAGACCUGCAGAGCUCAGCAGCCACAGGGUACAGAAUGGACCUUACUUAGCCCUGGAGACUUGCAUCAAAUAGAGAAGUGCAAAUCUCAUCUCCAUCUAUUAUCAUGGUAUAGCAUCAUGCUUUCAGCCAGGCUCAGAGAUUGCACACACAGGGCAGCAUGUCAGCGUAUCACCUUGCUGGGAGUACAGCUACAGGGAGAUGAUGUUCUUUCACCACCUUGUUGUUUGGUGGGUGCGAGGCUGAUGCUGCUCAGGUAGGAUUAACCACAUGGUCACACGUAGAGCUCUAUCAGGUCCAUGAUACGUAGGAAAAGUGGGUAGUUUCUCUUUCCUUCCUCCCCCCCCUUCUCGCAUGUUGUGUUUCAUUGAUUGAUUAAAAAAUCUCCCAUCCAGUUUAUCCACACUAUGAAAAAUGGAACUUUGCUAUAUGCUUUUGGCCAUCGUGUAAGUUCCAGGACUGCAAGGGCAACUGCAUAAAAAAAAAUAAAAAUAAACAGGAAAAGAAAAAGCA